rnacentral:tRNA from 1 species
GAGAGUAUAGCUCAGUGGUAGAGCGCGUGCUUAGCAUGCACAAGGUCCUGGAUUCAAUUCCCAGUACCUCCA